rnacentral:lncRNA from 1 species
AGGGGCGGAGGGGGCGUGUCUUUCACGUGAGAGAAAACAAAGAAUCAUUUUGCCUUUUCUUUCUCCAUCACGAAAAAAACGAGCUCUCGCGAAAGAAAAGGCGAUUCGGCGAUCGGAGAAGGCUGAAGGUAAAUCGGAGCUUUCACCUCUUCUUUUUGCAUUUUUUGUUGUUGCAUGUUGAUUUCAUAUCUUUUUAGGGUUAUAUCGAGGGGUUUUAAAGGAUUUAGGGUUUCAAAUCGAGUUGGGGUUUUUUUAUCAAAUUAGGGUUUUCGUCUCGAAUCAAUAUUUUCUUCAUCUCAAUUCGCUUAUUUGUUGUUUUCGUCGUUAUUAAGGUUUGGGAUUAAGCUGUAAAUCGAUUUAGGGUUCGGGAUUGAGUGUUAAAU